rnacentral:rRNA from 1 species
AACGAACGCUGGCGGCAUGCCUAACACAUGCAAGUCGAACGAGACCUUCGGGUCUAGUGGCGCACGGGUGCGUAACGCGUGGGAACCUGCCCUUAGGUUCGGAAUAACUCCCCGAAAGGGGUGCUAAUAUCGGAUAAUGUCUUCGGACCAAAGAUUUAUCGCCUUUGGAUGGGCCCGCGUUGGAUUAGCUAGUUGGUAGGGUAAGAGCCUACCAAGGCGACGAUCCAUAGCUGGUCUGAGAGGAUGAUCAGCCACACUGGGACUGAGACACGGCCCAGACUCCUGCGGAAGGCAGCAGUGGGGAAUAUUGGACAAUGGGCUAGAGCAUGAUCGAGCAAUGCCGCGUGAGUGAUGAAGGCCUUAGGGUUGUAAAGCUCUUUUACACGGGAUGAUAAUGACAGUACCGGGAGAAUAAGCACCGGCUAACUCCGUG